rnacentral:tmRNA from 1 species
GGGCUUGGUUUGGUUUUGACAGCAGGUAAAAUGGAUAAGCAAGCAUGCAGACACAAGCAAUAAAUGUCUUAAAACAAGGUUGCAAAAAAAAUUAAUUGGCGAAUCAAAUUACGCUUUUGCUGCUUAAUUGAAGUUUUUUAGUAAAUUGAGCUUAGUUCAUAUCAAGGAUAUGGAGCAAAACGUUCCUCUAAGACCCAUUCUCUAUGGUUGAAGGUAAAGGGACGCACGCAAAAUAGAGAUAGUUUUAAGGGUGCUUCGACCUUAUUACAAAAUUUAAGAAGAUAAGAAAAGUAUUGGGUGUCUUUCUCCGCUGCUUUUACGAAAACAAAUGAAAGAAUAAGCAUGUAGAAACCUUAUUUGUUUCUUGUUUGGACCAGGGUUCGACUCCCUGCAGGUCCACAA